CCUAACCUAGCGGCGGACGGGUGAGUAAUGCUUAGGAAUCUGCCUAUUAGUGGGGGACAACAUUCCGAAAGGAAUGCUAAUACCGCAUACGUCCUACGGGAGAAAGCAGGGGACCUUCGGGCCUUGCGCUAAUAGAUGAGCCUAAGUCGGAUUAGCUAGUUGGUGGGGUAAAGGCCUACCAAGGCGACGAUCUGUAGCGGGUCUGAGAGGAUGAUCCGCCACACUGGGACUGAGACACGGCCCAGACUCCUACGGGAGGCAGCAGUGGGGAAUAUUGGACAAUGGGGGGAACCCUGAUCCAGCCAUGCCGCGUGCAGGAUGAAGGCCCUCGGGUUGUAAACUGCUUUUGUACGGAACGAAAAGGUCUCUAUUAAUACUAGGGGCUCAUGACGGUACCGUAAGAAUAAGCACCGGCUAACUACGUGCCAGCAGCCGCGGUAAUACGUAGGGUGCAAGCGUUAAUCGGAUUUACUGGGCGUAAAGCGUGCGUAGGCGGCUGAUUAAGUCGGAUGUGAAAUCCCUGAGCUUAACUUAGGA
rnacentral:rRNA from 1 species